rnacentral:rRNA from 1 species
UACGUAGGGUGCGAGCGUUAAUCGGAAUUACUGGGCGUAAAGGGCUCGUAGGCGGCCAACUAAGUCCGACGUGAAAUCCCCAGGCUUAGCCUGGGAACUGCGUCGGAUACUGGAUGGCUUGAAUUCGGGAGAGGGAUGCAGAAUUCCAGGUGUAGCGGUGAAAUGCGUAGAUAUCUGGAGGAAUACCGGUGGCGAAGGCGGCAUCCUGGACCGACAUUGACGCUGAUGAGCGAAAAGCUAGGGGGAGCAAACGGG